rnacentral:ncRNA from 1 species
CUAUGGUACUCCACAGAAUACUCUAGGGUGGUAAAAAAAGGAGGAUAAACCAUUCCGCCUGACUAGCGGUGCGGCAGUGUGGAGACCUGUCGUAACGCGGCGCCCGGCAACGCCCGGGGCCGUGACAUCACAGCUUGCGGAGGCACUGUGAUGAUAGUCGAUGUACAUGGCA